rnacentral:rRNA from 1 species
CGACGUGGAGAACCUGCCGUAUACUGGGGGAUAACACUUAGAAAUAGGUGCUAAUACCGCAUAAGCGCACAGCUUCGCAUGAAGCAGUGUGGAAAACAAAAAGCUAAAGCUUUUGGUGGUAUACGAUGGAUCCGCGUCUGAUUAGCUAGUUGGCGGGGUAAAGGCCCACCAAGGCGACGAUCAGUAGCCGGCCUGAGAGGGUGAACGGCCACAUUGGAACUGAGAACGGUCCAUACUCCUACGGAAGGCAGCAG